rfam:Dialister micraerophilus DSM 19965 genomic scaffold SCAFFOLD1, whole genome shotgun sequence.
GUAUAAUAAACUUGAACUUUACAAAUGCAAACAAGUAAUAGUAUAAUACCGUUAUAUGGCUUUGCAUUAUUUAUUUAUGGCAGUCUUCGGGCCCGUGCAAUGAAGUCCCGUGAACCCUGUCAGGUCCGAGAGGAAGCAGCAGUAAACGGUAAACUUCAUGUGCCACGGUAUCUUCGAAGGCUGUCAUAAGUAAACAACGCAAGGCUUUUUUAUUC